rnacentral:lncRNA from 1 species
CUCAACUUUGACGACGUUGGAGUGGUUAGUGACUCUUUGGUGGCCAACAGCAUCUACCUACAAAACGGGAGUUGUGCAUCCUCAUCCGGUACACCCUUGAAAUCCGAGCAACCUGAUGCCUAACUUUGACGCAGUUAACGUUUCGUAAUAGCAAUGUAAAUCCUAGGUUCUCAGUGUUUAUUUGGUUGUUACUCUAUAGAGGGGUUGGCUGAAGCGGUGUUUUAUUGUAUACCAUAUACAUUAUCCGCCACUAGCCCAAGUGCCGUCUGAUGUUGGAACGGUGUUUUCCUCCGAUGACUAAUGUAAUAAUGUUUUUAGUCUAUUGUUCACAUUCAUUUCCAGAAGUUAACUGAGGUGGGUUAUUAGUAGAGUUUUCUCAAUUUUGUUAUGUCAAAGUUCAAAUUUUGAGUUGGGUUAUUGAUAAAGUUUUCUUUUUCAAUUUUGUCAAUGGUCGAAUUUUUCACUACAAAUUCUGUUCAAAUUCGACUCGGUUGAGCCAAGCUUAUAAACAAACAAGUUUCUUAACUCCAGCCGAAACAUUAAUUUUGAGAGAAAUUAUGUAAUUUUGAAAAGAUUGUUAACAAAAAAGUUACUUUAGAAAUUAAAAUAUUAUGGUAAGGUGCGGAUAGAUAUUGUGUUGAGGAUUACGGAUAAUUGGUUGAGCUAUCGAUUUAGAUCGGAGAUUGGAAAAUAAUCGGAAUGAUAAUCUUAUUAUUAUAAUAAUAAUUAUAAUUUAUCAACAAAUAUAAUUUUAAUAUAUCGUAAAUACUAUGAUCCUUCAUGUUUAAAGCAAUGUAAUAUUUGAAUAUUAACAAAUUAUUAUAUAUACUUAUUAUAUAUACUUUGAUUAAGAAAACUUAAAAAAUUAAUCAGAUUUCAAUAAUCAAAUUAGUCAGACUAUCUUGUAGAUAAAUAAUUGAGAAUUAGGAGAUUUUUAGAACACUACUCAGUAUAUAGAUAUCUAAAUUUAUGAAAAGAAUUCUUGCAUCUGUAUAUAUCUUUCUAGCUUUUAGAAUAAUAACAAAUGCUAGAUAAUAGUGGAAAUUGAUCGGUUGGCAUUUAAUAUAAAAACAAUCAAAGAUGGCUAGAGAAACUAUGUCUUCAACAAAUAAAAUGCAGCUUAAAGAUGUACUAGACUAUCAUGCAGACAUGCAAUAUUGACUAGUUUCAUAAAAAUUACAAGUGAAAACAUCAAAAGGCUUGAAAAUAAUGGCCACAAAUAAAUUAGGAUCAUCCGUACACACCACCCUUAUAAAAGAUAUGGAAACUAAGCAUAUAAUCCUACUUAUCCAGAAUACUUGAGAUCAUUUGACAUAUUAAACAUAAAGAUAACUGAGCAUCUAAGCUUCUUUCUUUUCAGUAAUGUAACUACCUACUGAUCUGAACCAUCCCAUCAGUUUCCGGUGAUCCUUCACAUAAAGCCAAGCUUGAAGAAAUGGAAAGAGGCUUUCAGUUAUGCCUCGCUCCUCAAUGUAACCAUGAAUGGCAUCCUUCAUCUUAUCAUCAAAAUCCUGGAAUCUAGGUCCAUUAUAUUUGGUUGGGUCCAUGACAAAACCCGAAUCCUCGCUCUUGGCCCUCAUCGAAAUUGAGUGAAUUCCUACUGCAUCAGGAUACAGUCCACAAAGGAAAAGCAAAGACUUGCUCUGCCCUGGCUUAGACACAUCAACAUGAAGAAAUAACUGGUUCAUUCCAUCCUCUUCAUCAUCCUCACCGGCAGGAAUUAUGUUUGUUAACCUCAUCACGGAUAGAUUAAUUUCCUCGUUCCCGUAAGUCCUUGUCAAAACAGGACCAUAAUUUUCAAGAGACCCUUUCACAACCGUGAAUGGUGAUGGAGGGUUCACUUUCUGUACACAAACAAUAAUAACAAAUAAAUUAAAACACCAAAAUGCUACACAUAAUCUUAUGAAAGCAAUGUCAAGAAAGAUAGAUCGAAAUGAAAAAAAAAUGCAAGAACACCUAGCCUAGGAUAAGAAAACUUCAUAUCAGAAGAACACAUCAACGGGCUACAAUACUACUAGAAGCUUGAUUUCCAAAUCCAGUGUAAUCUCCUUACUGGCAAGUAAGUAAAGAAAAAAAUUGUUGUCACAUUUCUAAAGCACCAGAAAACUCGCAUAGCAAAAGCACAACAUGAAAGACACCAUAAACUCAAGGACAGACUUCAGAAAGAAUCUCUAUAAUGUUAAGUGUGCUUAAAAUGAACAAAACUAUGCAAUGCCUUCUUUACUACCUCAUCGGUAACCAACUAAACAUUCAUGAUUUUAAUUCCAUAUUCCAUCUCAUUUCAACCAAUCCAAACCAAGGUUCCAUUAAUUUGCAAACAAACACCCCCAUUUCCCCUUCUCCUUGCUCAUGUCCUUCACAAAACCCCAACUCACCAAACUUGAAGAAACACUCCUCUAUUCCACUCUCCCCUCUUAUAACAUACCUCCCUAUAACUUUGUCCACAAAUUUCCUAUCCAUUCCAAUCUUGCCAAAUCGACUGAGCAAAAGAUACAGCACAUUCGACUAAUCCCGAAAACCACCUAGCUACCAAUAAAACCAAAACCACACUCAUUAACCCAAAAUAAUUUGAAAGAACACAAAAUACAUAAACCCUACCUAAACCCUAAACUUCACAAAAACACUAAAAAAAACAACUCAAAUAAUAUAACAAAUUCACUAAAUUCACAAAACAACAAUAAAUUAAAAAACCCAGAAAAACCCACAUGCCCAAAUGCUUAUAUACACACACAAAAACAUAGAUUUCAAAAGGGGCAGAGAAAUACAGGAGGAGGGGUCAUUUUGGAGACUUCAACAUAGUGUUCUUUCAGUGAGCGCAGAAUCAUUGAGUUGACCGCCGUGGGGAGAUUCGCCUUUGACUUCGACGCCAUCGGCCGUGAUGCUAACAUGCGCCAUGGCUGUAGUAUAGAUUUGGCAGCUGCUCUCUUCCACAUUGUUGAAGCCUGCUCUGAUACAAUGCUUGUUUCGGGUCAUUUCUAUUCAAGAAGCUAUUGGACUGUGAUAGCUAUUGGGCCUAGUAGGAUGUACCUUUUGUUGGCCUCUUUGAUACAAUGAUUUUUGGAAUAUUGCUAGUGUUGUAUAUAAAUUAUUUUUUCUAGUUUAUACAGGAGAAAAAUAUGAAUAGAGUUUAUUUUCUAAUAAGUAUCUUGGAUAUAAUAUUAUCUUUAAUAUCUAAAAAUUAUAAUUUAUCAAAGAAAAUCAUGUUAAAAUCUCGUAAAAGAAAAAUUCCAAAGAAACAGAUUGAAGGGAAAAAAUGUUUUCUUAUGAAAAAUUAUAUUUAAAACAGAUUAAAUAUAAAAUUAAUAUCUUCUUAAUUACAUGGUUUGAUUUCAUCAAUAUUUUUAUCUAAAUCUUGUACACCGAGACAUGGGAGUAUCUAGAAAAUCCCUUUAUAUCUAUAAAAUUUAUAUGACAUUUUUUUUGAAAAAUUCUGAAUAUAUAAUCAUAAAACAAAAAGAACAUAAAUUAAUAUGAAAUUUUUAUAUAUGAUAUAGAAAUAAAUGAAUAUAUUUAUUACUUAAUUAUUAUCAAAAUAUGCUUGUAUAUAUUAAACUUUUUUAAGUAGACACCUACGGAAAUAAAUAGCAUAAAACAUAAAACAAAAACAUAAACGAAUUAAUCAAAUUUUCACUCUGCAAGUCAAAGAAUAUGCAUUAAUCAUGUUCACCAUAUAAAAAAGCAUCAGUUAAUGGAUAAUCAACAAAUUUUUACAAUUCACCUUUCUUUCAAAAAUCCCAAACCCUAAUCCUGAUAUCUCUAAACAAAUUGUCAGGAGUUGCAUUUAUCCAAGUCCAUACUUAUGUAAUUAUAAAUUUCUAUAUGUUAUUACUGUUUCUAGCCUCUAGGCGGUAGUAAUUGCUGUCCGGAAUGUAUUUUGUUUACUUGUCAGGCAGACUCUGCUUGACAUGUGAAGUCCUGCGCGCCCAAACUAAAUGAAACCACUUAAAAUCUUGUGGCCAAGAUUUCCUCAGAGGCCAAGAUUUUCACUACUGAUAGAGUUGUUCACUAUUGAUAGUGAUAAGCUAAUCUUGUGCAGCAUUUUCAAUUGUCUGGUGUACAAGUACAACCAUGGUUUUCAGCUUUUUCCCAUUCAGCAUUCUCUUCUUUUUUGUAUUGGUAACCUCAGCAAGGUUGGUAUAUUCGUUGUCAAACAAUUUUACUGAUGAGCAAGCUCUGCUUUCAUUCAAGUCCUCAAUAACAGAAGACCCCUCGGGGGUGCUAGAGUCGUGGAACAAUUCCAUCCACUUCUGUCAUUGGACAGGCGUUACAUGCAGCCGCAGGCGACAGAGAGUAACAGUACUCGACCUCUCAUCACUAAAUUUGGCGGGUACAUUGUCUCCUCAUAUUGGAAACCUCUCGUUCCUGAGGACAAUUUACCUCUUUGAAAACCGUUUUCAUGGCUUGAUUCCAAAUGACAUUGGUCGACUGUUUCGCCUACAGGAUCUUUCUCUGGGAAACAACUCUUUUCAGGGUGGAUUUCCUGCCGAAUUGCAUCGUUGUACAGAUAUCAGAUUCAUCAAUUUGCACAACAACAAUCUUCAAGGAGAAUUAGCUAUUGACUUUGCUUCUUGGUCUAAGCUUGAUUUCAUUGAUCUUAGCGAAAAUCAUAUUAGUGGAUCCAUUCCACCAUCGAUAGGAAAUGUAUCAUCACUCCGUUUGAUUUAUCUUGGUGAUAACAAUCUAACUGGUGACAUACCUUGGGAAAUGGCUCAUAUCGCAAAAUUAGAGGAUCUUGAUUUGUCAUAUAACAGAUUGUCGGGUACGAUUCCCCUACCACUUUUUAACAUAUCGUCUCUCUAUAUUGUUGGUCUUGCCGUUAACAUGUUACAAGGAACACUUCCAUCGGAUUUGGGCUUCACCCUUCCUAAGCUGCAAGAAUUUUAUGUUGGUGAGAACAAACUUUCCGGACCAUUUCCACCGUCAGUUGUUAAUGCGUCUAAUCUACAUUAUCUUUGAUAUCAUUGAUAACUGUAUUGUUGGGCCUAUACCAAACAAUUUGGGCAGCCUUACAAAUCUUCAAAGGCUAUCUCUGAGUCAUAAUCCACUGGGAGACAAUAUGCGGUACAAUGAUUGGACCUUUUUUGAUUCCUUGGUUAAUUGUAGCCGUCUAAAGAGAUUGGGCUUGGGCCGGACUAGUUUAAGAGGGGAGCUGCCUAAUUCCAUUGCAAAUCUCUCCACCACUUUGGAAGAGCUCUAUAUGUAUGGAAACUAUAUAUAUGGAAGCAUACCUCAUGAAAUCGGAGAACUUGUGAACAUGAUACAUCUUAAUUUCAGAGACAACUUCUUAACGGGGAGCAUUCCACAAUCAAUUGGCAGACUAUCAAAGUUAGGUGGUCUAUAUUUGUAUGGAAACAACAUUUCAGGAGCAAUUCCAACUUCCAUUAGCAACAUGACUCAUUUAGUUGAUCUCUAUCUAUAUGAUAAUGUGCUGCAAGGAAGCAUACCUGCUGAAUUGUUUAACAUAUCAACUCUAGAAGAAGUGUCCAUUGCUAACAACCGACUUGGAGGGGCAAUACCUAAUGAAAUUCUGUUCUUGUCGCAUUGUAUUCGACUUAGUUUGUCCCAAAAUUUAUUUAGCGGUCCACUUCCAUCCAACAUUGGAAGCUUGAAACAACUGGUUGCACUCUUUGUUUCAUACAACAAACUCAGAGGAAAUAUACCAGCUACUCUUGGUGAUUGUGUAAUGUUGGAGUUUCUAUAUAUGGAAGGAAACCUUUUUAAAGGUAACAUUCCAUCUUCUUUUAAAGCGUUGAAAAGUCUUGCUUUUCUAGAUCUUUCUGACAAUAACAUCUCUGGGAGUAUUCCGAGCUUUUUCAAUGGCUUUCAAUUAAUCAAAUUUCUCAACUUGUCACACAACAAGCUUGAAGGUGAAGUGCCUACAGAAGGUCAGUUUUCAAAUGUUAGUGCCUUUUCAGUUGCUGGAAAUUUGGAGCUUUGUGGAGGCAUUCAAGCAUUGCAUUUGGUUGCCUGUCCUCGGAAAGUCUCAAGACAUAAGAAAAAAGAAUUUUCCCCAAGGAUCAUACUAAUUGUAGUUCUCGUACCCCUUGGUAUGUUGUUUUUUUUUCUUGCGUUAAUUUAUUAUCGACGUCGAAACUCCAAGAAGUUGAAUGACCCCAUCCCAAUAUUGAAGGAGGAUCAAUAUCCCAAACUUUCAUACCAAGACCUUCUACUAGCCACAAAUGAAUUUUCUCCAAACAAUUUGCUCGGUCAAGGAAGAUACGGUUCUGUUUACAAAGGAGUUCUCGAAUCAGUGGAACACAUACUUGCUGUCAAGGUACUAAACAUUGAAAUACAUGGAGCUAACAAGACUUUUUUGUCAGAGUGUGAAACACUGAGGCACAUUCGUCACCGGAAUCUUAUCAAGAUCAUCACAGCAUGUUCUAGCACUGAUUUUAAGGGCAAUGACUUCAAGGCAUUGGUUUUUGAGUUCAUGACUAAUGGGAGUGUGGACAACUGGUUGCAUCCAAGUCCUUCUGAUCAAGGGAAUGCAAGAAACUUGACUCUACUUCAGAGACUAAAUAUUUCCAUUGACGUUGCAGUAGGAGUGGAUUACUUACAUCAUCACUCUCAUGCAAGUAUCAUUCAUUGCGACCUAAAGCCAAGUAAUGUGCUUCUCGAUGAUGAUCUUGUUGCUCGUAUUGGUGAUUUUGGUUUGGCGAGAUUCUGCUUUCCUACUACAAGUGACAUCAAUCAAUCACAAAUGAGUUCGAGCGGUGUACGUGGAACAAUUGGAUAUGUGCCGCCAGGUGACUUUUAAAAUAAUAAUUUUUUUUGUCAAUGUUUAACAUUGUUUGAUACUGCUCCACACUUUUAUUUACACCAUCACUAUAUAUUACUUGAAGUUUGUAUGUAAGGAGUGGUAUUUACUAUAUAAGUAAGCAUAAAAUUCGUGAAACAUCUUGUUUGGCAAAUGUCUUGACCUUUUAGUUAUGCAGAGUAUGGAAUGGGUGGCGAGAUAUCUACAGAAGGAGAUGUAUAUAGCUACGGAAUCUUUCUACUAGAGAUGUUUUCAGGAAAACGACCUACAUGUAGCAGCACGUUGUUGGACAAUAAUAAUAGCCUUCAUGACUAUGUGAGGAAAGCCCUCCCACAUAGGGUGAUGAACAUUGUUGACUCGCGGAUCAUAAUAGAUCUAGACGAUCAUGGUUUGAGAACAAAUCAGUCAUAUAACAAGGCUGCCUUAGAGGUAUGUCUGGCAUCAAUAUUUCAAGUGGGGAUACUAUGUUCACUAGAAAUGCCCAAAGAGCGCAUUGACAUUAGUGUUGCUAUCAAGCAGCUUCAUGCAGCAAGAGACAAGCUUCUACAGCACAGAUAGUAACCUAUGUCUCUGUUUCUCUGCUUUUCCUAUGUUUCUAUCUCUUCUUGAUGCCACAGAUUACUCCACACUUUUAUUUACACUCUUUAAUACCGCUCCACACUUUUAUUUACACCGUCACUAUAUAUUACUUGAAGUUUUUAUGUAAGGAGUGGUAUUUACUAUAUAAGUAAACUAUUAAAUUCGUGGAACAGUACUUUUGGCAAUUGUCUUGACCUUUUAGUUAUGCAGAGUAUGGAAUGGGUGGGGAGAUAUCUGCAGAAGGAGAUGUAUAUAGCUACGGAAUCUUUCUACUAGAGAUGUUUNGUGCUCCGGGGCAUCAGUGGUUUCUAUUCGUACUCAAUAUUUGAGCACUUUGAGGGACAGCCACCUAUCGUUUUGUACCAAGGAAGAAUUGUGUUCAGGCUACAAGAAGAUAUGUACACACGCUAUUCCCAUCAUUUGUUUCAUGACUCUUGACUAGUUGACUUCUUGACAGUUGAAAAAAAUAACAGGCUGGCUUAAUGGAUUAUAUAUUUGCUAGGUUCCGCUACAUGGCGGUUUCUGAUGAUCGACAAAGGAUUAUGCCAACAGAAGAAGACCGGAAACUGGGACUACCACUUGACUAUCCAGAAGCAGUGCUAUUGACAAAUCCAUCUGAUGCAUUUCUUAAAGGAGAGGUUAGCUGUUUGAAUUUUUUUUGCUCUAUUUAUAAGUUUCAAGAGGUCUCCUGUCAUUUCUCUUGAAUAUUCAUGAUAAGAAACUUAAUUAUUAUAAAAAAUUUCCAAUGUACAUUCUGUAAUGUUGUAGGUUCAUGUUCCACUAAUAAUUAUUUCAGCCGACAAACUUAAUGAGUGAACUAAAAAUUACUGAUCACCGUAGUAGAAAUCACGGCUUAAUAGUUUGUAGGCUAGAUUAGCUUGUAUAUGGAUAUAUGCACAGUGCCCAGCUCAACAAUAAUUGAACUUUGUUCUGUUAUUUUGGUUGAAGUGAUCAUAAAAAGCUAUAUAACAAGCGAGUAUGAAGUGCAGGUGGAUGAUAAAUAUCAGUAUUCAUGUGAAAACAAAGACAAUAGAGUACAUGGAUGGAUAUCUGCUAAUCCAGCCAUUGGCUUUUGGAUGAUUACACCAAGUAAUGAGUUCCGAACUGCUGGGCCAACCAAACAAGAUCUCACCUCUCACGCAGGUCCCAUAACUCUAUCUGUGAGUACAAAUAUGUUCUGAAGUUAAUAAAAUGUAGAAUCUGAAUUUAAAUAAUAAAUUUAUGGUCUAUCUAUAGAUUACAAAAAUGCGCUAUCAUUUUCAGAUGUUCUUUAGUACUCAUUAUGCUGGAAUAUCACUGGGAAUAAGAUUGGGACAAGGGGAGUUAUGGAAAAAGGUUUUUGGCCCUGUUUUUAUUUAUUUAAACUCUGUAGAGGAUGAGAGUCCCCUUGAACUAUGGGCAGAUGCUAAAGAACAGGUAAUCCUUCUACAAUUUCUUACCUGUACUAUAAACACACAUACAGAGGUGCAAAACUGCAUUAUAUGUACCAGUAUCACUAUUUAAAUCACUUUGAUUUUCAGAUGCUUAUAGAAACUGAAAGUUGGCCUUACGAUUUCCCGCUUUCAGAAGACUAUCCUUAUGCCAAUGAGCGAGGCACUGUAAGUGGAAGGUUACUGGUCAGCGACAGGUAAUUAGCACAUUUCCCAUGAAAAAGUAGGACCACAAAAAGAAACCAAAAGUUUUAAUUCUUACAGUGCAGCUUAUGUGAAUUUCCGUACGAUUCAUAUUAUUAGAACCAAAGCAAAAGAGAGCUUACUUCUCUAAUAUAGUAAAUUGUAAGGUAGAGAGGACAUUUAUUCGUUUAUAGUCAAUUGCGUGAAUUGAAAUAGUUGAAUACUCAUGCUUUUAUUUAGCAAAAAAAAAAAAAAACUCAUGCUUUUACCAAGAGCGGAACCUUAAACCUCCUGCUACCAUGAUAAUAGAGGCAUCCACUGGAUUACAGUGACAAAAAUGACCGGCAUGUAUUCCUAACAUGUAUGAUGUAUCAACUAACAUAUUCUUUUGUAGGUACAUCAACAAUGAGUUGAUGACUGCUAGUUCUGCUUAUGUGGGAUUGGCUGCACCGGGAAAUGCAGGAUCAUGGCAAACAGAAAACAAGGUUAUAACUAUAUAUCAUAGCAUGCUGAUCGUAGUUUAGCUACAUACAAAAUUUUUAUGUUUAUUUUUAUCUAUUAAAUUCAGGGGUACCAAUUUUGGACGCAAACUGAUGAUCAGGGGUACUUUUUGAUCGAAGAUGUCCGAGUUGGGAACUACAGCUUGUAUGCUUGGGUACCAGGAUUCAUUGGUGAUUAUAAAUACGAACUCUUAAUUAACAUCAGACCAGGUUUGAGGUCUUUCGAUCUUAAGUCUUUUCUUCUUUAAGAUGAAGAUAAAAUGCAAUAACUGUAGCUAAUAAGCUUGAACUUAAACAGGUAGUAAAAUUAAACUAAAAGAUAUUGAAUAUGUUCCUCCAAGAAAUGGUGCCACCCUUUGGGAAAUUGGCAUUCCUGACCGCACUGCUGCUGAGUUUUACGUGCCUCCGCCGAACCCCAUGCUUCUGAAUCAGUUAUAUGUCCAAAACAAUGCACAAGGGUAAAGUAUAAUUGGUACAUUUGCCACUCAAACAUCAGGUUUUGUUCAUAUAUACUUCAUUCUUCCAAAAAAGGAUAAAUUGUGGGGCUCAAAACUCCUUUUAAACUACUCAGCAAAUUCAUAUAACAAAUUUGUUAACAGGAUACAGAUUCAUUAGUUUAUCACACAAUUGUAAACAGGUUCAGGCAGUAUGGACUGUGGGAUCGGUACACAGAUGAAUAUCCUGAUCAAGAUUUAGUCUACACCAUCGGGGUUAGCAACUAUCAGAUAGACUGGUUCUUUGCUCAUGUUAACAGGUGCGUACUCCAAGUUACGGUAUAGAAUAUAGAUAAUUAAAUUUGUAAAUUUACUGUUAUUUUUAUUAAUUUAUUACACAUCUGAUAAACACAUUGGACAUCUAACAUAACAUUGUUGCAGGAAUAUAGGAAACAAAACAUAUGUACCCACUACCUGGCAAAUUUUAUUUGAUCUCGAAGAAGUUGAUCAAAACGGAAAUUAUACAUUGCAUCUGGCAUUGGCUUCUGCCACCGCAGCUGAAUUACAAGUAAGAACUACAUGCUUUCUAAAUUUCCAGUCACAACAUCUCAUCCUCGGUCUUCAAUGAUCAAUAUACCUCUUCUUCGAAUAUUUUUCCACUUAAAUCUUAGUAUUCUUGGAAUUUAUUCGCUGAUCAGGCUCUGUCAUUUGCUUGUCUAAGGUUCGGAUAAAUGACUACAAUCCUACCAGUCCUCACUUCACGACAGGGCUCAUAGGGCAGGACAAUGCCAUAGCAAGGCAUGGGAUUCAUGGGUUAUACAGGCUAUAUAGUGUUAAUGUUUGGGGAUCUUUGCUACUAGAAGGAAGAAAUGUAAUAUAUUUAACACAAGCAGUAGGUGUUAGGGCUUUCAGAGGAAUCAUGUAUGACUACAUUCGCUUUGAACAGCCAGCUUACCAAGAUUAAAGAAGUUUUGUGCAAUUACAAGCAUUGUUCAAAAAUUAAUCACCGAUUAAUCCGUAUUCCGUAGUUCUUCGAAUUGAUUAAAUAUCUGAUUAUUCAAUUAAUCAUCUGGUAAAUCUCCCGUCAAUCCCAUUAAUUUUUGAUUAAUCCUUAUCUGUGUCUUCACCGAUUAAGUCGGAUUUCCGCUUUUUACAACAUCCAUUAUAAAAAAAAGGGUAAUAUUUUAAAUUUAAAUUUCUCUUGUUAUUUAAAUGUAAAAACUGUGCAUGCAACAUUGAAGUUUUCAAACUCAAAACUCAUGAGCAAUAAACUAAAGUUUAAAAUAUCAUUCUCCAGAUAUGUGACAAGGAACGAUUACUACGUAUAAUUCGUAAUAUAAAGGGGAAAAUAAUAUGUGUGUGGGCUUUCCAUAAUAAGAAGAUUUUACAUAAUUUAAAUAAUAAUUUUAAAUGAGCAACAUUUAGAUAACUCAAGUGGUAGUUAUUAGAACGGAUAUUCACUUAUACAAUUAAUAUUUAGAUAGAAUAUCGAGUUUAAAUAUAUCUCAUGCAAAUUCAAAGAAUGAAAAAAAAAUUGAAGAUUUGAAGGUAUAUGAUUUACUUGUGUUUUUCAAAUGUACGAAGGUUUAUGUUUAUCGGGAAAAUCUAGCUAAUAUGUCAAAAUUCGUAACUGGGUUUUUUAUGCAAAAAUACCGAAUCAUCUCUGUUAUAUGCAAAAAUACCGAACCAUCUCUAUUAUUUCCUUUAAAAAAAAAUCAUCUCUGUUAAUAAUUGAAGGGUCAUAAUUAUGUUAUUUCCGUUUAUCGCAUGAAGUGAUUUCUUUAAGUUGCAAGUCCAGUGCCCUUAGUAUCAUGCAAUAUGCAUCCAUGAGACCACCUACAUUAUUUGAGACGGUCCAGAAAUUAAUCGAAUAUCUCGAAAAUCUUUAAAAAUCCUGACGUAUCUCAGAUUACCAAAAGGGGCAUAGAAAAGACCAAACGGCGUUACGGACGAGGUGAAUCCUUAAACCUUUUAGUCCGUCUCAGUUUCACUGCUGUAACGGCUGAGAAUUUGGCGGUAAAACAGAUUGCGUGGCAUCAUUUAAUUGGCUUACACGUGCAUGUAUAUAACAAUUUUACACCUCACUCUUGUUUUUUCCCGCGCAAUCAGAACCCUAGAGAGAGAAACAAAGCCCCACCCACAGUUCUGAGAGGUGAUAAGAACUAGGCUUUUCUAGAGAGAGAAACAGCAAAAAAGAGGGCUUUUCUUGAAUUUCAUAAAUUCUCGCGAAGAUCGAAACUUUAUUCAUCAGAUCUGAGGAUUCUUGAUUCUGGUAAGUGGGUUCUUUUUUUUUGUUGUUGUUAUUUCUUUGUGUUUCUUGAUUGAGAUCUUGCGAUUUGUGAAGUUUGGGGAUCUGGGUUAUUUGUGUUUUUGCUUUUGUUUGUGUAUAUGGUAUUCUUAUGUAUGUGUGAAUUUUUGGGUAUGUUUUAUUUGGUGUUGAUAAUUUUUUGAUUGAUGGUUUUGCAGAUUUGGGGGUUUAGGGUUUGGUUUUAAAUGGAGAAUUCCAAGCCUUCAGCUCCGGAGAGUGGUUUGAAUCCGGAUAUCGAAGCUCGAUUCAUUGCUUUUUGCAAGGUUUUGUGCUUUUUGUUUAGGUUAAAUUUGGGAUUGUGUGUUGUUAUUUGGUGUAUAUGAUUUUUGGGUUUUUUGUGUGUGAUUUGGUCUGUAGGAUGGAUUAUCGAUGGACGAGAUUACUAUGACUGAAGCUAUGAAGCUGUUUAAUGAAAGCAAGCAUCUUUUGCAGGCUAAUGUAUCCGUAGCUGUUGGAACUGGAACGGUAAAAUUGCUUUUAUUUGAAAAAUUGCUGGUUUUUGGAUUAUCGAUAUGUUUUUGAAUUUUGUAUGGCGCGAAUAUGGAUUAAGGCUAAUUAAUUUUAUAUUUGUCGUUUUUUGGUUUGUAUUUAUGGAUCAGCCUGAAGAAGCAGAACUUUACUGGUUUGUGUUUGUUUUGUACUCAUUGAAAAGAUUGAGCCAGCGAAAUUCAAAUGACUCGAUUACAGAGUCGGAUGAAAAAAGGGUUAGCUUAUGUCAGAUGUUAAGGGCCGCAAAGUUAAAGUAAAGUUAUAAUUUAUGAAUUAUUCCUUAAAGGCUACUUAUUUGACUAUAACAUCAUUUUAAUCAUGUCAUUUUUUUCGCUUUGUAGUCUUGUGGAUUUUUUCAAAGAAAUUCCUCAGUUUAUUGUUAAGGUGGGCCCAAUUUUAGGUAAUCUGUAUGGCGCAGAUUGGGAGAAGAGACUUGAGGUACGGAUGUCUGGAUAUCUAGCUGUAUAUUAUGUUUACUUGUUCAAGUUGUAACGCCUUCAUAGUUAUUAUUAGGUCAAAUCCAUUAUUAUUUUGAUUGUAUGUUAUUCAUUUUCUUUUUCCUAUCUGAAUCAGGCAAAGGAGCUGCAAGCCAAUUUCGUGCAUAUGAGCAUUUUAAGCAAGUGGGUACCAUUUAUUCGUUAUCCUUGCAUAACUUUUCUGUUGCUUGAGUAUAUUAUGGUUAUUUGCUUGUUUUAGUAACUAAUCCAUCCAUCUAAAAGUGCCAAAGAAUUAUGAAAUAAAUCAAAUAUCAUUGGGGCGGAUAGUAGAGGUUGUGCAAGAUUGCCUUGCACAUACUUAAGCUCAAUGUUUAACGUCACAUGACAUUGGGACAUUUAACUAUCGUUCAAUGAAGAUCAACUGUAUUGUUCAGGACAAUGGGUGACGGCCGCAGCUGUUUCUUUUAAAUAUUUUUAUUCGCUGUUCUUGGUUCAUAUGAGGCAAAUAUUUUUUUUUCUUGCCAAUAAAAAAAUAUGCUAAUAGAAAAUGACUUCGUUAUUCUAAUAUGAAGAAGGAUAUAUUUCUGAAGUUAACUUUUGUUCCACGUCUCCUGUAGCUAUAAGAUGCAUACAAUAUAGAGCUUAAUAACUUGUGUACUUUUUUUGGCUUCUUAAAACAUCAACAUGCAUUUUGUUUUGCCUAUUCUUCGAAGAAUACCAGAAGGAGGAUUGCAUGAGGAUUAUUAGUUAUAUUAUCACUUGAUAAAUGUCAUUGCACUAUAUGACACUGUAGUUUGUCAAUUAGGAGUUUAGAAUGCUCUGUACUUACGUCUUUGUUAUUUUUGUAUUCCGUUUAAUCUGUAGUAGGUUCAUGCUUUUAAUAAAAGUAAAGUAUAGCUCUGUCAAAUUUUCUUUACCAGGUACUAUAAACGUGCAUACCAUGAACUUUUUCUGGCAAAGGAUACAAAUACUGAUAAGCAAUCAGCUGCUGGCGAUGGGUCAGACUAUCAUCGUUUUGGUUGGUUGCUAUUUCUAGCUCUACGUGCACAUGCGUUCAGCCGGUUCAAGGACUUGGUGACUUGCACAAAUGGUCUAGUUUCCAUAUUGGUUAGUUACAUUUCAUUACCAUAUGGUGACUAUAAUGUGCUUUUUUUUCCUUUUUGCAAAACGCUCUAGCAAAAAAUAAAUGAUGCAUUAAUCAGUGAUGUAAAAGAAUGACUUGCACCCUUCAUGACAAACCAAUCUUCUGUCACUUCUCUCCUUGAAGAGGAACAGACAUUUUUUUUUUGCUCAGUCAACACUUUACAGGCAUAAUCCAUGUACCAGACUCCUAUGUUGUAGUAUUACUUUCUGCAUAUUUUUCACCUAAUGUUAUACAUAAUGCAUGUGUUAAUGUUUUUGUGAAUUUUGGACAGGCCAUUUUGAUUAUUCAUGUCCCUGCUCGCUUCAGAAAGUUCAGCGUUGAUGACUCUUCACGCUUCGGUGAGUAUCUUCCCAAGAGCUUAUUUUUUGAAUUCUACAGCUCUUGUUGGUGAAAUAUAUAUUAUAUAUCUUUUACCAUUUUGACUACUCAACAGUAAAGAAAGGCGACAAAGGUGUGGAUUUGAUUGCAUCACUUUGCAAAAUGUAUGAGACUUCAGAAGAUGAACUGAGGAAAACAAUGGAGAAAACCAAUAAAUUAAUAGAAGGAAUUUUGAAGAAAAAGCCUUGCUUGGCCUCUGAAGUUAAAAUUGAAAAUCUUGACAAUAUCAGCACAGGUACUAUAUUCCACCAUGAUCAGUUGCUGGUUUGAUUUAGUGUGACAUUGUAUUUUACCUGAUCUGCCUUUGCUGAAAUUUGUAUCCUAUGUAAUGCAGAUGGUUUAAUUUACUUUGAUGGUUUGAUGGAGGAGACAACUUUAUCUACUAAUCUAAGUACAUUAGAGAAGGACUAUGAAGAUGCAAUUUGUAGUACAGGUGAUUUAGAUGAAAGACUGUUUAUGGAUGCUGAGGAUAGUGUGCUCGGCUCAAGCAGCUUAUCUGGAGGUGCCAUAAAUAUUAGCGGUCCAAAGGUAUGUCUUUUAUAUAUAAGUGACUAUUGAAUAAGUUCAAUUGUUUAGCUUCUCAUUUAUUUCUUUUUAUAGAGGAAAUUUGACUCAAUGGCAUCCCCAACAAAGACAAUCACAAGUCCACUUUCUCCAUUCCGCUCUCCUGCAAAAUCUGUUAUGAGUGGCAACGUUGUUAUCGGCUCCUCAAGGAUACCAUCUACACCUGUAAGCACAGCGAUGACGACAGCGAAGUGGCUUCGGGAUGUUAUAUGUCCACUUCCAUCAAAGCCUUCGGCAGAGUUGGAAUCUUUCUUGUCCAAAUGUGAUAGGAAUGUAACUCAUGAGGUUGUACGUAGAGCUCAUAUAAUAUUGGAGGCUAUAUUUCCAAGUAGUGGUGCAGGUGACCGCAGUGCGACUGGAAGCUUGCAGAGUACAAAUCUCAUGGACAACAUAUGGGCAGAACAACGUAGAUUAGAAGCGGUUAAGCUCUAUUAUAGGGUAUUGCAAGCAAUGUGUACAGCAGAGGCCCAAAUUCUAAAUGCAAACAAUUUGACCUCUUUGCUUACUAACGAGAGGUUUCAUAGGUGUAUGCUGGCAUGUUCUGCUGAGCUAGUUCUUGCCACUCACAAGACAGUAACAAUGUUGUUUCCAGUAGUGUUAGAAAGGACUGGCAUUACAGCUUUUGAUCUUAGUAAGGUGAUAGAAAGUUUUGUUAGACAUGAGGAAUCUCUUCCAAGGGAACUGAGAAGGCAUCUGAAUUCACUGGAAGAACGGCUUCUUGAGAGCAUGGUAUGGGAAAAGGGCUCUUCUAUGUACAAUUCUCUGACAGUAGCAAGGCCAGCCCUCUCUGCUGAAAUAUGCCGUCUUGGAUUGUUGGCAGAGCCAAUGCCAUCUUUAGAUGCAAUCGCUAUUCAUGUUAAUAUGUCUAGUGGAGUUUUGUCUCCUGUCACAUCUUUGCAAAAGCUGGAGUCAUCCCCAGGUAUUGAUUCACUUCAUCUUACUUCAGGUAUUUUCCUACCUUUAAGUCACGUAAUUAUAUUGGCUCUCUCUAAACUAACCAAAAUAUAUCUGCUAAUAAUUCCAGGUCAAAAUGGAGAUAUUCGGUCUCCAAAAAGGCUUUGCACUGAACCUCGAAGUGUAUUAGUAGAGCGUAAUUCUUUUACAUCACCAGUGAAGGAUCGCCUUCUGGCUACCAACAACCUGAAAUCAAAAUUACUGCCUCCAGCUUUGCAGUCUGCAUUUUCAAGGUAAUUAUAACCAUUCAAGCUAUUGCCUGUGCACCUUGGUGGCACUUUUAUAAAUUUGUAAUUAGUAUUAUCUAAUAUUGACAUGUAAUUAUAUUAAUGCAGUCCAACAAGGGCAAAUCCAGGGGGCGGAGGGGAAACAUGCGCUGAAACUGCAAUUAGUGUAGUUUUUGCCAAGGUAUUUUUUUUUUGGUUGAAUGAUCUGGAUUUUAGAAUACGUUUGGCUACUAUAUUGUAUGAACUAAUCAUUAUUGAGAACUAAGAAGGUUUGUCUAUUUCAAUGUCACAUGCUCUAGUUUUAGGGUUCCUGUUCCAUGUUCUUGUUCUAGAGAAAACAUGUUACAACUCGAGACAUUCCGAUAAAUAAUGUUAUCCUCUCAUUGCUGGCCAUCAUAUAUGCUAAUUGUUUGAUAGUAGGAGUAACACUGUUCAAUUUGUAUACGAAGUUCCAAGUCAUUUUUCAGAAAGUUUAGCUGAAUAGUAGUUGUUCAUGUCUAGUUCGGAUAUUUUAUCCUAAGUUUAUAAAAGUAUUAUAUGUAUGUAUCCAGAUAAUAGGGCAAGUAAUAGUUAUUCUGUUAUUGGUAAAGAUACAAUGCAUCAGUAUUUUCAUUUUUUCUUAUGAUGAUUUUCUAUGAUGCAUUGAUUAUACAUGCACAAAAUUGUCGCCAUAUUUUGUCAUUUUAUAUGCUAAUGUUUCAUAUUGUUAACCUUAUUAUUUGCCAGAUUGUAAAGUUAGCUGCUGUCCGAAUCAAUAGUAUGAUUGAAAGGCUCCAAUUACCGCAACAAAUAAGAGAGAAUGUGUACUGUCUCUUUCAGAAUAUCCUUAUGCAGCAGACAGCUCUAUUUUUUAACCGCCAUAUUGAUCAAGUCAUCCUAAGUUGUCUGUAUGGAGUUGCAAAGGUUUGCUGUUAAAUAAUUGUGAGACUGAGACUAUUUAAGUUGCUUUUUUAUCGUUCUUCUAAAAGCUAUGGUUCAAAAUUGCAGAUUUCCCAAUUGAAUCUGACAUUCAGAGAAAUCAUUUACAACUACAGAAAGCAGCCACAAUGCAAACCCCAGGUUUUCCGAAGUGUAUUUGUGGAUUGGUCAGCAGCUCGCCGGAAUGGGGUAUUUAUAGUUAGCUGUACUUUAUAUUCUCAAUAUUUUGAGCAAACUCUAACUGUUUACUGGUUUUUAACAUAGAAAACUGGAAAGGAUCAUGUUGACAUUAUCACAUUUUACAAUGAAGUAUUCAUCCCUGCCGUCAAGCCUCUAUUGGUAGAACUUGCCCCUGGUGGAAACGUUAAAAAGAGUAGCCAGAUACCAGAAGCCAUGAAUAACAAUGACAAAGGUUUGGUUCUCUAUGCUCACUAUCUUAAUAAACAGACAUCAGUAUAUGCACUUGCUAUAUUGGUCAAUGUUCAUUAAUUUUCAAAUUGUUAGUUUCUGUGGGAGAGCCUGGAGUACUAUAUAAUUUGUCUUUACUUUUUAAUCUUGUCUUUCUCAAAUACAUUUAGGUCAAAUCCCUGGAUCACCCAAAGUAUCAAAGUUUCCCAGUCUCCCAGAUAUGUCCCCCAAAAAAGUAUCAGCGGCGCACAAUGUUUAUGUCUCUCCACUGCGAUCAUCAAAGGUACUGCUGAAUAUCUUGAUUUAAUAUUAAUGUUUUAAUUAUAGUCGUUAAACUUAUUAUGAAAAUUUAUAUUUGAUGAUAUUUAUUUUUUCAUAUGAUGUUCCAUAACUAUGUCUUGAAGGUUUUCUUUUGAGUUAGUAUAUAUCCCUACUAAAGUCUCCUUACCUGAGUACAUCUAUGAAUUAUGAGGGUUUAAGAUUACUGGCAGACAUUACUAACAGAAAAGUAACUUCCAAUGCAUAUAUUAUUUAGUUUACCUAUCUUUAAAUGACCUCCAGGCUCCAGUAAACCGACCGAAAGCACCAACCGUAUACAGCUUCCACACAAAGCUAACUCUUCUCUACAUACUGGCAUUUUUUCUUCUAGGCGCUCAUUAAAUUCUAUCUCAUAUUUCUGACAGUGGUUACUGGUUAUUAGGAAACAGUUUGUUCUUAUCGCAGUUCUUAUUAUUUCUGUAAAGUGGAUAUAAUUGUUUGCACUCUACAUACAACAAAAUUUUAUGUGUAUCUGUUUCUUCUACAGAUGGAUGCUCUUAAUUCACAUAACUCUAAGAGUUACUAUGCUUGUGUUGGAGAAAGCACUCAUGCUUACCAAAGUCCUUCAAAGGAUCUCACUGCCAUCAAUAACCACUUGAAUGGGUACACACUUUAUCUUUAAAAAUUAGACAUUGUGUGUCGUAAUAGAAAUUUUAAAUUAAUAGCUGCUGCACUAUCCUUUAUUUCAGUCCCAAGAAGUUUAGAGGCAUGCUCAACUUUGACGACGUUGGAGUGGUUAGUGACUCUUUGGUGGCCAACAGCAUCUACCUACAAAACGGGAGUUGUGCAUCCUCAUCCGGUACACCCUUGAAAUCCGAG